CGGCGGCGGUUGCCCAAUACAUGCAAGUCGAACGCGUUGGCCCAAUUGAUUGAUGGUGCUUGCACCUGAUUGAUUUUGGUCGCCAACGAGUGGCGGACGGGUGAGUAACACGUAGGUAACCUGCCCAGAAGCGGGGGACAACAUUUGGAAACAGAUGCUAAUACCGCAUAACAACGUUGUUCGCAUGAACAACGCUUAAAAGAUGGCUUCUCGCUAUCACUUCUGGAUGGACCUGCGGUGCAUUAGCUUGUUGGUGGGGUAACGGCCUACCAAGGCGAUGAUGCAUAGCCGAGUUGAGAGACUGAUCGGCCACAAUGGGACUGAGACACGGCCCAUACUCCUACGGGAGGCAGCAGUAGGGAAUCUUCCACAAUGG
rnacentral:rRNA from 1 species